rnacentral:rRNA from 1 species
AGCGAAUGGAUUAAGAGCUUGCUCUUAUGAAGUUAGCGGCGGACGGGUGAGUAACACGUGGGUAACCUGCCCAUAAGACUGGGAUAACUCCGGGAAACCGGGGCUAAUACCGGAUAACAUUUUGAACCGCAUGGUUCGAAAUUGAAAGGCGGCUUCGGCUGUCACUUAUGGAUGGACCCGCGUCGCAUUAGCUAGUUGGUGAGGUAACGGCUCACCAAGGCAACGAUGCGUAGCCGACCUGAGAGGGUGAUCGGCCACACUGGGACUGAGACACGGCCCAGACUCCUACGGGAGGCAGCAGUAGGGAAUCUUCCGCAAUGGACGAAAGUCUGACGGAGCAACGCCGCGUGAGUGAUGAAGGCUUUCGGGUCGUAAAACUCUGUUGUUAGGGAAGAACAAGUGCUAGUUGAAUAAGCUGGCACCUUGACGGUACCUAACCAGAAAGCCACGGCUAACUACGUGCCAGCAGCCGCGGUAAUACGUAGGUGGCAAGCGUUAUCCG